rnacentral:rRNA from 1 species
UAUCUCUGUAGAGUCUGCAUAUCAAUAAGCGGAGGAAAAGAAACUAACAAGGAUUCCCUUAGUAACGGCGAGUGAAGCGGGAAGAGCUCAAAUUUGAAAUCUUCAAGGUUCUACCUUGACGAAUUGUAGUUUAAAGAAGUGUUUUCUGUUGGAGUUUUGGUAAAAGUUCUUUGGAAUAGGACAUCAUAGAGGGUGAGAAUCCCGUAUUUGACCAUUAUUUUCAGCUGUGUGAUACACUUUCAAAGAGUCGGGUUGUUUGGGAAUGCAGUCCAAAAUGGGUGGUAAAUUUCAUCUAAAGCUAAAUAUUGGCGAGAGACCGAUAGCGAACAAGUACCGUGAGGGAAAGAUGAAAAGAACUUUGAAAAGAGAGUUAAACAGUACGUGAAAUUGUCAAAAGGGAAGCGUUUGACACCAGUGUUGUUUUCUCGAAAAUCAAUUAAAAAAAGUUGGAUUUUGUAUUGUUAAGACCUUAUCAGCUUACUGUACUCUUUUCUUGCUUUUUUUAAUGCACUUUUCGUUUAACAAGUCAACAUCAAUUUCUUUUGUUGUAAAAGAGUCAUUGGAAGGUGGCUUUCACUUCGGUGAAAGUGUUUAUAGCCUUUGGCCUCUGCAAUCGGAGAGAUUGAGGUCUGCAGCGUAGAUCCUUCGGGGUUAGAUACAUUUGUGCUAAGUUAUAGCCUUUCAUAGACAACUUGUUGACUAUGUUUAGUCAUGUAGCUUACUCGCUUAUGCUAUUUUACCUACGCUUAGGAUGUUGAUCUGUAGUGCGUGCGC